AUUGAACGCUGGCGGCAUGCUUUACACAUGCAAGUCGAACGGUAACAGGCCGCAAGGUGCUGACGAGUGGCGAACGGGUGAGUAAUGCAUCGGAACGUGCCCAGUCGUGGGGGAUAACUACUCGAAAGAGUAGCUAAUACCGCAUACGAUCUAUGGAUGAAAGCGGGGGACCGUAAGGCCUCGCGCGAUUGGAGCGGCCGAUGUCAGAUUAGGUAGUUGGUGGGGUAAAGGCUCACCAAGCCAACGAUCUGUAGCUGGUCUGAGAGGACGACCAGCCACACUGGAACUGAGACACGGCCCAGACUCCUACGGGAGGCAGCAGUGGGGAAUGUUGGACAAUGGGCGCAAGCCUGAUCCAGCAAUGCCGCGUGCAGGAAGAAGGCCUUCGGGUUGUAAACUGCUUUUGUACGGAACGAAACGGCUCUGGUUAAUACCCGGGGCUAAUGACGGUACCGUAAGAAUAAGCACCGGCUAACUACGUG
rnacentral:rRNA from 1 species